AGAGUUUGAUCAGUGGCUACAGGACGAACGCUGGCGGCGCGCUUUAUACAUGCAAGUCGAACGAGAAGCCAGAGCUUGCUCUGGUGGAAAGUGGCGAACGGGUGAGUAACACGUGAGAAACCUGCCCCAAAGACUGGGAUAAGCCGAGGAAACUUGGUCUAAUACCGGAUACCUUCUUUUAUCACAUGUUAAAAGAAGAAAUGCUCCGGCGCUUUGGGAUGGUCUCGCGACCUAUCAGCUUGUUAGUGAGGUAAAAGCUCACCAAGGCAUCGACGGGCAGCUGGUCUGAGAGGAUGUCCAGCCACAUUGGGACUGAGAUACGGCCCAAACUCCUACGGGAGGCAGCAGUAGGGAAUCUUGCACAAUGAGGGAAACCUUGAUGCAGCGACGCCGCGUGCGGGACGAAGGCCCUAGGGUUGUAAACCGCUUUCAGUAGGGACGAAAGUGACGGUACCUACAGAAGAAGCCCCGGCCAACUAUGUG
rnacentral:rRNA from 1 species